GAUGAAGAACGUAGCGAAAUGCGAUACGUAAUGUGAAUUGCAGAAUUCAGUGAAUCAUCGAGUCUUUGAACGCACAUUGCGCCCCCUGGUAUUCCGGGGGGCAUGCCUGUCCGAGCGUCAUUGCUGCCCUCAAGCACGGCUUGUGUGUUGGGCCUCCGUCCUCCUCCCGGGGGACGGGCCCGAAAGGCAGCGGCGGCACCGCGUCCGGUCCUCGAGCGUAUGGGGCUUCGUCACCCGCUCUCGUAGGCCCGGCCGGCGCUUGCCGACACAUCAAUCUUUUUUCCAGGUUGACCUCGGAUCAGGUAGGGAUACCCGCUGAACUUAAGCAUAUCAAUAAGCGGAGGA
rnacentral:misc_RNA from 1 species